rnacentral:tRNA from 1 species
GGAGGAUUGCCUAAGUUAGGAUGAAGGGAAUAGUUUCGAAAACUAUCAGACGUGUUAAAGUAUGUCUGGGUUUGAAUCCUGUAUCCUCCG